UUGCGAUAAGUAAUGUGAAUUGCAGAAUUCAGUGAAUCAUCAAAUCUUUGAACGCACAUUGCGCUCCUUGGUAUUCCGGGGAGCAUGCCUGUUUGAGAAUCAAUAAAUCUCUCACCGUCAGAUCUGUUUGAUUAGUUUCGCUCGGAUCCGGAGGUGGAUAUGAGUCUUUUGCGUUCCAUCAGUGAACACAAUGACUUUAAAUUCAAUGUCUGCUGCUUUCUCUUGAUGGGGAAUGGCUUUGAGUGCAUGAACUGUUUUAAUUAACUUAGAUUUCACUCUUGCAAGCUUUCAUUCCUGAUGUCUGGGAGAUGAGCCGUUGGACCCAACCAUUACAUCUCUGCGCGGGCUGAUUUUUUUCGGCCCUCGCAUUGAAUACUUGGUCUCAAAUCAGGUAGGAAAACCCGCUGAACUUAA
rnacentral:misc_RNA from 1 species